rnacentral:rRNA from 1 species
CAGUCGCCGCGGUAAUACGAGGGGUGCAAGCGUUAUUCGGAUUGAUUGGGUGUAAAGGGUGUGCAGACGGCUUAUUAAGUCACUUGUUAAAUUCUUCGGCCUAACUGAAGGUCUGCAAGUGAUACUGAUGAGCUAGAGGGUGGAAGAGAGAAGUGGAAUUCUCGGAGUAGCGGUAAAAUGCGUAGAUCUCGAGAGGAACACCAAUGGCGAAGGCAGCUUCUUGGUCCAUUCCUGACUUUCAUACACGAAAGCGUGGGGAGCGAACAGGAUUAGAUACCCCUGUAGUCCCUGUCUCUUAUAC